rnacentral:lncRNA from 1 species
UCCCUUCUGCACCUGCUGGUCCAACACGUUCUGUCCGUUGUCGUUGACCACUUGGAUUCUUCCUUGUCCUCCAGUGCAGUACAAGAUCUCGUUAGCGUUCAUGUUGUAUUUCGGAAGCACCAUCGCGUUCUGCAACAUUUUAUGAAUUGUGAUCGUCAUCCCUCAUAUAUAUAGCUUCCAAUUUUAAUAUAUUUUGCUAAUGGAAAAACAUUAAUAUAUCUUACUGAAAAAAUAUUAACUAAGUAAUUAUACAUUAGAUUUAUAUUUUGAUUUAAAAUUAUGUAUAUGAAUAAGAUAUACUAGGAUUUAUCUCUCUCUCUCUCCUAAUGUCUAAAGGCAGUAGAAACUAGAAACGCUGAUAUCUUUAUAUUUAUAAUUAUAAGAAUAAUAUACUUACAC